CAGCAUGGCCUUUAUAUCCAGGGCUACACACACGCUACAAUGGUCGGUACAACGGGUUGCAAGACCGCAAGGUGGAGCCAAUCCUCAAAAUCGGCCUCAGUUCAGAUUGCAGGCUGCAACUCGCCUGCAUGAAGUCGGAGUUGCUAGUAACCGCGCGUCAGCAUUAGUGCGGUGAAUACGUUCCCGGGCGUUGUACACACCGCCCGUCACGUCAUGGAAGCUGAUAACACCUGAAGUCGGUAUCCUAACCGCAAGGAGGGGGCCGCCCAAGGUGGGAUUGGUAACUGGGACG
rnacentral:rRNA from 1 species